GGUGUGGAUCCUUCUUGGGCAUCUUACUUGCUAGUGUGAGGUGUCACACCAGUACAUCUCCUUGUUGGAAAAUAUAUCCCAAAAGCCAAUCGUCAAUCUAUUGACGGUUGAGCAACCAAGUAUUGUAAUUGAUUUGCUAAUAAAUAAAAUAUAUUUUUGACAUUUUCAUCACAAGUUUUCAUAUUCUAAUGAACUCCAUUGUUGUGAUGAAGUUCUUAGGACUAUUUAGGUUCGAUAAAGAGAGGAUUUAUCGAUUAGUCCUUAAAACUGUUCAUGACCAAAUGAUAGGCUGUUAAUAAGGACAACAGCUUCCAUCGAGCAUAGGUCGAUGUAGGCCAUAUGG
rnacentral:lncRNA from 1 species